AUGAUGAUGAACAUCUAUUCAUGUGUCUGUUGGCCAUCUGGAUGUCUUCUUUGCAAAAAUGUUUUGAUACCAAGGAGACUCCUUAGUAAACAUUCUGCUGGCUAAAUUCCACCUCAGAGUCUACCUCCUAGGAAACCCAACCCAUGACGAUGAUUGAAUAACAUUUUUAAGUACUGAAAUAAUGAAAGCUGUCAACCCAGCAUUCUAUAUGCUGCAAAAUUAUCUUUCAAAAAUGAAGAAAAAUAAAGAUGUUUUCAUAUGGAUAAAAGCUAAGAAUUUGUGUGUUGUGCUAUAAGAAAUGCUAAAGGGAAUUCUUCAAGUGGAAGAGGAAUGGCACCAGGUGAUAACUUGGAUUCAGUGGAAGGAAUAAAGAACACAGGAAAUGCCUAUUGAUACAGUGGAUGACAUUGGUUUCUGGAUGUUGAACCACACCCUUGCAUAGCACUUCGUUAAAGGAUAUAAUUCUUUUCAUACAUGGCUGGAUUCAACUUGCUAAUGUUUUGAGACUGCUUUUGGAGAUGCAUCUGUGAGGGAAUGAGGAAGGCAGAGUUUGGCAGAGGGAGUUGCAACUGAGAUCUCCUGUGACCCUAUGGAGAGCUCUGUGGUGAGAAUGACCCUUUGAGAUGCUCUAAGUUGAAGCAAUGAGCUGGGCCUCGGAAUCUCCACAUCAGUCGAUCAUUGGUUAUGGACACCCUCUGAGAGGGCCUGUAACUGUGGCUGAGGCAGGUCCCUGCAGCCUGAGGCUUUGCCUAGUGAGGGAUGUGGUUGUGCACCCCCUAUUCCCAGAAGAUGGGGGAUGGGUCUUUUGGCUCUAAAGAGAGGUUCUGGGCAGAACCCCACAGCAUUCACUACAAACACAUUUGUUGUAAGAUACAUCUUGAACUUAGAAACAUUAGAAGUGAAGAAAGUGCACCUUAAGAUAAGAGUAGGAUAAAAAAAAAGAUAAGAGUAGAAAUAUGGUCUAAGGAUUCAGUAGUGUUUUUUGGUAUAGAGAUGCAAGCUGAACUCCAAGGAUGAAUCCAAAUAGAGAAUUAAAAAUCCAAAGGGUCUCAGGAAUUUUCUCCAUUGUCUCUCAUUUUUGACUCUUUUUUGCAAAUCUGCUUUACUCUUCUUUCUUGAUAUUCCAACUCUCUUUGCUGAAGAGUUUAGCAAAGCCCGCAUGGGUAGUGGAUGAUUACCAGUACUGUGCUGGUGAAUAUGUAAAAUUGGCUCUCUGGCAGAAAAGAGGUGUGCACCUAUAUUCAUGUAAUUUUUACUGAUAUAAAGGAUAUGGAGGACACAAUUGUAGGUAAUAAUGGACUAUACCAUACUCUUUAUUGUAAUUCCAUAUAGCUAGUUGAUUCUCACAGGAUUCUUUAAUUGAUUUUUGCAGAACUCAUGUCCUCAGCCAACCUGUAGUUAUAAAGGAUGAAUGAGCCCCGCUCUGACAUGAAUGCUGGUUGAUAUCUCUGCUUAAAUUAAUGAAUAAGACAAAAGUGAAAUAACAAAGGUGCAUGUUAGAACUUAAUUUGUUUGCCAUGUAGAUGACUUCUUUAUUCAAUCAGAUAAUAGUUUCUCAAGUCCUGGAAGAAUAUCUCCUCAAGUCUUUUUCUUCUUUACUUACUGUGCAACAGUUGUUUUUGAUAGGAGAGAGAUUUUGCUCCUCAGGGGACCUUUGGCAAUGUCCAGAGACAUUUUUGGUUGUCACAAUUAUAGAAGGGGAGGGUGUUACUGGCAUCUAACAGGUAAAUAGAUGCCAAACAUCCCUCUCCCUAAAACAAAUUAUCUGGUCCAAGGUUGAGAAACUCUGAUCUGUAUUAUUAACAUUGUCUCCAUAACACUUUAAAGUUUAGAAAAUCAACAAGAUAAUAAAUCAAGUCCAGAUUUGUAGCAUUUGCCAAUUUCAGUGGUGUGAACAUUCCCACUGUGGCUGAUCUAAGGUACCAAUAUCACAUCUUUAAGUGUGGAGUCAUUGAAAAAUAUGUAGUAGCACAUGUUAUAUGGAAUUUCCACCACAAAGAUACAGUAGUUAUAACUAAAUCCAAGAGCAUAAAUUAUAGUAAAAUAUAGUAAUAUAAUUAGUAAUACAUAAUAGGUUCUGUGUAUUUAUUACCUGUAUUUAUAAUGUACUUAUGUAAAUAAACAUUUAAUUUUUAACAAUGGCUAUGCUUAACAGCUGACUCAUAAAAUUCUUAAAAGAUUUAGCAGUUUGCUCUUGCAGGUCAGUAUAGACUGGUCUGGCUCCAGCUUGGCACCAAAUGGCUACCCACCACUCUUGAAUUCACAUUUUAUAUUACCUGCAUCUUAGAAAGAUUGACCCAGUUCCAAUGCCAGUUUUCUAAGGAAUGGACUCUGGUUGGUCCAGAUUGGGUCAGGUACCUGCAGGUUUGUGAAUGUAGCUGGAUCCAAAGGAAGUCUAUUCCCAUCCAUUAGGAAACUUCUGGAAGCAUCUCUGUGAGUGGGAGUGCACCCUCAGAGGAGUCUGUAACAGCACUACAGACACUGGCACAUGCUUCCUCCUCCAUUCCUGUUUAUCAAGACUCCAUGCAGAAAAAGUUUCUGACUCAUCCACUGUUUCCUUCCCACAGAGAUUUCAAAAUAAUGUAUUAGAUCAGUGGUUCUCAAAGUGUGGUCCUUGGAUCAAAAGCAGCUGCUUCACUUGGGGUCUUGUUCAAAAAGCAAAUUAUUGGGCAUGAUUCCAAGCCUCCUCACUGAGCUAUUCUGGGGAUGGAGGCCAGAAGUCAGGUUUCAAAAGGUCUUCCAGGUUAUUCUGAGGCAAACUGAAGAUUGAGGCCACUGUACUGGAUUAUCUAAUUUAAACAAAGUUACAUUCUGUUCUUUAGGACAGCAACAAAACAAACCCAGAUCAUCCUGAUUAAAUUAGGUAUUUCUUCCAGUCUUCAGAAAUGACAAAUAAUCUCCCUUUGGAUGAGUUACUCUGGCGAGCAAUAAUCUCAUCAAUCUUAUAUUGAUUUUUACUAUUUCUUCUCUAGAAAAUGACUGGUCUUUUAUUUCUGUGAAUACUUUAUUGUAACCCCAUAUACGCUAUUAAGUCAUAUUUAUCCGACAUAAUUUAACUUUUCAGGAUCUGUUUCUUGAUUCUCAAGAGUAGGGACUUCAUUUUGUAUUUGGUUUAGGUCACAGAACCUAAUGUAGGACAGAGCUCACAGAAGAUACUUAAAUGUUGGAUGAAUAAUCAUGAAGAUUUACACAAAUAUUUUAUGUCCAAUCUUUGCUUUCUUUUAUUGUCAUUAUUCAAGUGUUAUCAUACAUAAUUUCUAAAGUAGUUACUCUGGGAAAAUGUAUAAGGAAUUGCAGUAAUUAAAACAGAAAAUGACAGCUUUCUGGAUAUUUUCUCCAAAUUAUAGAAUUUGUAUCAAGUUAUGGUGUGAAGAAGAAAAGAAGAAUCGCCAGCAGUUACUCUUGAAAAGCCAAUAUUUUGAUAUGUUUCCUUCCAUUUUUUCUAAGUUUAUAUGCUUUUCUAACCAAAAAGAGACCAUAUGCUGUUGUGCCCAAGAUUGCGAAUCCGAGAAACCACCAUGAAGCCUACACGGAUGCAAGCGCACGAAGGUUUAUUAGCAAGCUCGAGCUUGGAUCCAAGUAUACCCAACACAGAGGGGCAGGGACUUGGACCCCGAAGUGGGUUACAGCUGGGUUUUUUAUAGGCUGGU